AUACGGAGGGGGCUAGCGUUGUUCGGAAUUACUGGGCGUAAAGCGUACGUAGGCGGACUGAGCAGUUGGGGGUGAAAUCCCAGGGCUUAACCUUGGAACUGCCUUCAAUACUGUCAAUCUUGAGAUUGGAAGAGGUGAGUGGAAUUCCUAGUGUAGAGGUGAAAUUCAUAGAUAUUAGGAGGAACACCAGUGGCGAAGGCGGCUCACUGGUCCAAUACUGACGCUGAGGUACGAAAGCGUGGGGAGCAAACAGGAUUAGAAACCCUUGUAGUCC
rnacentral:rRNA from 1 species